rnacentral:rRNA from 1 species
GAUGAACGCUGGCGGCGUGCCUAAUACAUGCCAGUCGAGCGAACAGACGAGGAGCUUGCUCCUCUGACGUUAGCGGCGGACGGGUGAGUAACACGUGGAUAACCUACCUAUAAGACUGGGAUAACUUCGGGAAACCGGAGCUAAUACCGGAUAAUAUAUUGAACCGCAUGGUUCAAUAGUGAAAGACGGUUUUGCUGUCACUUAUAGAUGGAUCCGCGCCGCAUUAGCUAGUUGGUAAGGUAACGGCUUACCAAGGCAACGAUGCGUAGCCGACCUGAGAGGGUGAUCGGCCACACUGGAACUGAGACACGGUCCAGACUCCUACGGGAGGCAGCAGUAGGGAAUCUUCCGCAAUGGGCGAAAGCCUGACGGAGCAACGCCGCGUGAGUGAUGAAGGUCUUCGGAUCGUAAAACUCUGUUAUUAGGGAGGAACAAAUGUGUAAGUAACUAUGCACGUCUUGACGGUACCUAAUCAGAAAGCCACGGCUAACUACGUG